rnacentral:lncRNA from 1 species
CAUUUUAAAUUUUAGUUAUAUUGUAUUUUAAUUGUUAAAACUUUUUAGACAAACUUUUGCACAUUGGGCCAUUGUUAAAAUUUAUGUUGUUGGGCCCAAUUUUGUAGGACAGAUGGCACCACCUAGGGUUUACCUUUAGGGUGGACCCCACUUCAUUUUAGGACACAUGAUCCUAGGUUGAAGGGUGGCAGCCGACACUUGCAAGACUCUCAAUCUCUCUCGGCAUUUUUUUUGGUUUUGGAGAGCAAAGUUUUCUUCUUUGGAAGCAUGGUUUUAAUUGAGGAUUUUGGUUGAUUACAAAGUGCUCCCAGCCGACACUGCAGUCCAGAAUUGAGGGGCACCACUUUGCUUUGCACGUUUUUUUUAGAAGCUUAUUGAAUUAUAUUGAUUUUAUUGGAUUUUGGAUGAUGGAAUGAAUGGAAGAAAUUUAGAUUUAUC